AUUGAACGCUGGCGGCAGGCUUAACACAUGCAAGUCGAGCGGGGGAAGUUGCUUCGGUAAUUGACCUAGCGGCGGACGGGUGAGUAAUACUUAGGAAUCUGCCUAUUAAUGGGGGACAACAUCUCGAAAGGGAUGCUAAUACCGCAUACGCCCUACGGGGGAAAGCAGGGGAUCUUCGGACCUUGCGCUAAUAGAUGAGCCUAAGUCGGAUUAGCUAGUUGGUGGGGUAAAGGCCUACCAAGGCGACGAUCUGUAGCGGGUCUGAGAGGAUGAUCCGCCACACUGGGACUGAGACACGGCCCAGACUCCUACGGGAGGCAGCAGUGGGGAAUAUUGGACAAUGGGCGGAAGCCUGAUCCAGCCAUGCCGCGUGUGUGAAGAAGGCCUUUUGGUUGUAAAGCACUUUAAGCGAGGAGGAGGCUACUAGUAUUAAUACUACUGGAUAGUGGACGUUACUCGCAGAAUAAGCACCGGCUAACUCUGUGCCAGCAGCCGCGGUAAAAC
rnacentral:rRNA from 1 species